GGGUUGUGAGGUUAAGCGACUAAGCGUACACGGUGGAUGCCCUGGCAGUCAGAGGCGAUGAAGGACGUGCUAAUCUGCGAUAAGCGUCGGUAAGGUGAUAUGAACCGUUAUAACCGGCGAUUUCCGAAUGGGGAAACCCAGUGUGAUUCGUCACACUAUCAUUAACUGAAUCCAUAGGUUAAUGAGGCGAACCGGGGGAACUGAAACAUCUAAGUACCCCGAGGAAAAGAAAUCAACCGAGAUUCCCCCAGUAGCGGCGAGCGAACGGGGAGCAGCCCAGAGCCUGAAUCAGUGUGUGUGUUAGUGGAAGCGUCUGGAAAGGCGCGCGAUACAGGGUGACAGCCCCGUACACAAAAAUGCACAUGCUGUGAGCUCGAUGAGUAGGGCGGGACACGUGGUAUCCUGUCUGAAUAUGGGGGGACCAUCCUCCAAGGCUAAAUACUCCUGACUGACCGAUAGUGAACCAGUACCGUGAGGGAAAGGCGAAAAGAACCCCGGCGAGGGGAGUGAAAAAGAACCUGAAACCGUGUACGUACAAGCAGUGGGAGCCUCUUUAUGGGGUGACUGCGUACCUUUUGUAUAAUGGGUCAGCGACUUAUAUUCUGUAGCAAGGUUAACCGAAUAGGGGAGCCGAAGGGAAACCGAGUCUUAACUGGGCGUUAAGUUGCAGGGUAUAGACCCGAAACCCGGUGAUCUAGCCAUGGGCAGGUUGAAGGUUGGGUAACACUAACUGGAGGACCGAACCGACUAAUGUUGAAAAAUUAGCGGAUGACUUGUGGCUGGGGGUGAAAGGCCAAUCAAACCGGGAGAUAGCUGGUUCUCCCCGAAAGCUAUUUAGGUAGCGCCUCGUGAACUCAUCUCCGGGGGUAGAGCACUGUUUCGGCAAGGGGGUCAUCCCGACUUACCAACCCGAUGCAAACUGCGAAUACCGGAGAAUGUUAUCACGGGAGACACACGGCGGGUGCUAACGUCCGUCGUGAAGAGGGAAACAACCCAGACCGCCAGCUAAGGUCCCAAAGUCAUGGUUAAGUGGGAAACGAUGUGGGAAGGCCCAGACAGCCAGGAUGUUGGCUUAGAAGCAGCCAUCAUUUAAAGAAAGCGUAAUAGCUCACUGGUCGAGUCGGCCUGCGCGGAAGAUGUAACGGGGCUAAACCAUGCACCGAAGCUGCGGCAGCGACGCUUAUGCGUUGUUGGGUAGGGGAGCGUUCUGUAAGCCUGUGAAGGUGUGCUGUGAGGCAUGCUGGAGGUAUCAGAAGUGCGAAUGCUGACAUAAGUAACGAUAAAGCGGGUGAAAAGCCCGCUCGCCGGAAGACCAAGGGUUCCUGUCCAACGUUAAUCGGGGCAGGGUGAGUCGACCCCUAAGGCGAGGCCGAAAGGCGUAGUCGAUGGGAAACAGGUUAAUAUUCCUGUACUUGGUGUUACUGCGAAGGGGGGACGGAGAAGGCUAUGUUGGCCGGGCGACGGUUGUCCCGGUUUAAGCGUGUAGGCUGGUUUUCCAGGCAAAUCCGGAAAAUCAAGGCUGAGGCGUGAUGACGAGGCACUACGGUGCUGAAGCAACAAAUGCCCUGCUUCCAGGAAAAGCCUCUAAGCAUCAGGUAACAUCAAAUCGUACCCCAAACCGACACAGGUGGUCAGGUAGAGAAUACCAAGGCGCUUGAGAGAACUCGGGUGAAGGAACUAGGCAAAAUGGUGCCGUAACUUCGGGAGAAGGCACGCUGAUAUGUAGGUGAAGUCCCUCGCGGAUGGAGCUGAAAUCAGUCGAAGAUACCAGCUGGCUGCAACUGUUUAUUAAAAACACAGCACUGUGCAAACACGAAAGUGGACGUAUACGGUGUGACGCCUGCCCGGUGCCGGAAGGUUAAUUGAUGGGGUCAGCGCAAGCGAAGCUCUUGAUCGAAGCCCCGGUAAACGGCGGCCGUAACUAUAACGGUCCUAAGGUAGCGAAAUUCCUUGUCGGGUAAGUUCCGACCUGCACGAAUGGCGUAAUGAUGGCCAGGCUGUCUCCACCCGAGACUCAGUGAAAUUGAACUCGCUGUGAAGAUGCAGUGUACCCGCGGCAAGACGGAAAGACCCCGUGAACCUUUACUAUAGCUUGACACUGAACAUUGAGCCUUGAUGUGUAGGAUAGGUGGGAGGCUUAGAAGUGUGGACGCCAGUCUGCAUGGAGCCGACCUUGAAAUACCACCCUUUAAUGUUUGAUGUUCUAACGUUGACCCGUAAUCCGGGUUGCGGACAGUGUCUGGUGGGUAGUUUGACUGGGGCGGUCUCCUCCUAAAGAGUAACGGAGGAGCACGAAGGUUGGCUAAUCCUGGUCGGACAUCAGGAGGUUAGUGCAAUGGCAUAAGCCAGCUUGACUGCGAGCGUGACGGCGCGAGCAGGUGCGAAAGCAGGUCAUAGUGAUCCGGUGGUUCUGAAUGGAAGGGCCAUCGCUCAACGGAUAAAAGGUACUCCGGGGAUAACAGGCUGAUACCGCCCAAGAGUUCAUAUCGACGGCGGUGUUUGGCACCUCGAUGUCGGCUCAUCACAUCCUGGGGCUGAAGUAGGUCCCAAGGGUAUGGCUGUUCGCCAUUUAAAGUGGUACGCGAGCUGGGUUUAGAACGUCGUGAGACAGUUCGGUCCCUAUCUGCCGUGGGCGCUGGAGAACUGAGGGGGGCUGCUCCUAGUACGAGAGGACCGGAGUGGACGCAUCACUGGUGUUCGGGUUGUCAUGCCAAUGGCACUGCCCGGUAGCUAAAUGCGGAAGAGAUAAGUGCUGAAAGCAUCUAAGCACGAAACUUGCCCCGAGAUGAGUUCUCCCUGAC
rnacentral:rRNA from 1 species